AGCCUCGUAGCUCUACUGGUAGAGUGUGCGCUCUGUGAAACAACCUAGGCGGCACCCAUGCGUGGGUUCGAAUCCCAUCGAGGUCA
rnacentral:tRNA from 1 species